rnacentral:lncRNA from 1 species
AUUCUGGCAACUGAACGUUGGCAGUAAACGCAGCUUAGUUGUCUCAGAGGACUCACAAUGGGAUGUGCUUAUAGUUGUUGCCUCGAAGAUUACGAUGAGGACCUGGUGCAGGAAGCUUCAUCUGAAGAUGUCCUGGGCGUUCAUAUGGUGGACAAAGACACAGAGAGAGACAUUGAGAUGAAACGGCAACUACGGCGACUACGGGAGCUCCACCUAUACAGCACAUGGAAGAAGUACCAAGAGGCGAUGAAGACAUCCUUGGGAGUUCCACAAUGUGAGCGUGACGAAGGCUCCUUGGGCAAGCCAUUGUGUCCACCCGAGAUACUCUCGGAGACGUUGCCAGGCUCUGUGAAGAAAAGGGUAUGCUUUCCAUCAGAAGUGCUGGAGUCAGCGUGAGCAUGAACAGCAACUGACUCCAUGGACACAUACAUCGUGUUGAAAAGGAAGAGUGGAAGGACAAAUAAGCUAAGUGCGGGUCAUUUUUAAAUGGUAGGAUAAUUGAGUAUUUUCAAAUCUUGGUUUAAUUCUGUUUGACUCAAAGGUUC